CGGGGACACGUUAGGGAUACGGCCUGGCCCAUCUUGCAGGGUCACGACAUAAUGAAGAGGCUCUCCCUCCCUGCCUCCCAGGUCGCACAGAUGGCGCCGCCACCUCCUGGACUCGCCCCCACCGCCUGGACUCGCCGCCACCGCCGCCGGCGCGCCUGGAUUCGACCGGCGACCGUCCCCUCUAGCACCAGCAGCAGCAGCAGCAACCUCUCCUCGCAGCCGCAGGUACCAAACCAUGGCAUCUGCGAGUGGCACAGCCGGUAGCCAAUCAUCCGUGGGUGAGAGUGAAGGGCGUCCGGGUUCUGGUGCUGCAAUUGGGAGCCAAAUGGCAUUGCAAAUUGGAUGCAACUUGCAAUGACGAGGAUCAAUCAAGCACUUGAUAAAAGAGCCACCAAAUGGGGCAGUAUUCUCUAUUCUCAACUUUUUUUCUUUAAUUUUCUGUCUUAAUUCUAUAUUAUAUGUCAUAUUUUUAUUUUAUUUUAUAUAUACUCACCGUAUCCCCGAAUGGCUGUUUUUGGAAAAUGUCGUAUCCCGUAUCCCCGUAUGCGUAUCCCCGUCCUUCCAUCCCCGUGUCCGUGCUUUUUAGUAAUCCAAUGGGUGAUAGCAUCACCGCUUACCAAGUACCCAUCCUGGUUACUUUGUUAUUUAGGUAAAUGUAAGAUACCAUGACCUUUUACCAAGUACCUGUCCUUACAUUAUGUGCAAAAUAGGUUAUACAUUAAAUUCCAAAUCUGUUGAAUAUUUGUUUAUACUGCAUGCUUAUAGUUUGUAGCGUGUGGCUGUACAUCUAUUUCUAUGUCGAGUUAUUUAUCAUUCUACUCUUACAGAAUGUUUGCGGGGAGCUCGGUUAGUGUCGAUGCCUCAAGGGUUUAUGAAUAACAGUUCCAUGUUGCUUAAAGGCAUUGUAAUGCUGGCUACUGGUUUCCAGGUAUAUGUUUAUGUAGUCAUAUGGACGCGCUCAUUGAUAAUUCAUAUAGAAUGUUUAUAUUCUUUAUAACUUUGCCAUGGAUGAACCUAUUCUGGAUAAUGAGGAGUUAGCAAGGGGAGUUUCUGAUUGCGGAGAAUUGGUGAUGCUUUUGCUUCAGGAUACUUAAGUGCAUGGCCUUGAGCUUUUAUUCAAAAGAAGGAUAAUUGAGUUGCAGCUGAAUUCUUUGGCUGGAUCAAGCAGCAAAGAAGAUUUACUUAGCAAUACCUGUAGUUUACAUUGAUAGAUUGAAAAAUGUAAUAUGAUUCCCAAGAUCUUUUUCUUUGGUCGAAUUGAUGCAUCUGCUAUGGUGUAAUAUUCUACAUAGUCGUGUUCUCUAUAGUCAAAUUGAUAUGGAUGAUAUUCUGUUGCACCAAUAAUAUUGGUAUUUGUUUA